UACGUAGGCAGCAAGCGUUGUUCGGAAUUACUGGGCGUAAAGAGUGUGUAGGCGGUGCUCCAAGUCUAGGGUGAAAGCUCCCGGCUCAACUGGGAGAGGUCCUUGGAUACUGGCGAACUUGAGGGAUGCAGAGGAAAGUGGAAUUCCCGGUGUAGUGGUGAUAUGCGUAGAUAUCGGGAGGAACACCAGUGGCGAAGGCGGCUUUCUGGGCAUUUCCUGACGCUGAGACGCGAAAGCGUGGGGAGCGAACCGG
rnacentral:rRNA from 1 species